AGAGUUUGAUCCUGGCUCAGAAUGAACGCUGGCGGCGUGCCUAACACAUGCAAGUCGGAUGUGCCCGUAAUGGUGCAUGGCAGACGGGUGAGUAACGCGUGGAAAACCUACCUCUUUGUGGGGAAUAACGCUUCGAAAGGAGUGGUAAUACCGCAUGAGACCAUAAUACUGGGAUGUCUAUGGUGAAACCUGGGGACCGCAAGGCCUGGGGCAGGGAGAGGGUUCUGCGUCUGAUUAGCUAGUUGGUGAGGUAAUGGCUCACCAAGGCAACGAUCAGUAGCCGGCCUGAGAGGGCGAUCGGCCACACUGGAACUGAGACACGGUCCAGACUCCUACGGGAGGCAGCAGUGGGGAAUAUUGCGCAAUGGGCGAAAGCCUGACGCAGCAACGCCGCGUGGGUGAUGAAGGUCUUCGGAUCGUAAAACCCUGUCGUCAGGGACGAAGGUUGCCAGUUAAAUACACUGGUAACUGACGGUACCUGAAAGAG
rnacentral:rRNA from 1 species